rnacentral:rRNA from 1 species
CUACGUGCCAGCAGCCGCGGUAAUACGUAGGGGGCGAGCGUUGUCCGGAAUUAUUGGGCGUAAAGAGCGUGUAGGCGGCUUGGUAAGUCUGCUGUGAAACCUUGGGGCUCAACCCCAAGCGUGCAGUGGAUACUGUCAAGCUAGAGGAUGGUAGAGGCCAGUGGAAUUCCCGGUGUAGCGGUGAAAUGCGCAGAUAUCGGGAGGAACACCAGUAGCGAAGGCGGCUGGCUGGGCCAUUCCUGACGCUGAGACGCGAAAGCUAGGGGAGCGAACAGGAUUAGAUACCCUGGUAGUCCUAGCCGUAAACGAUGAACACUAGGUGUGGGGGGAGUCGAAUCCCUCCGUGCCGAAGCCAACGCGUUAAGUGUUCCGCCUGGGGAGUACGGCCGCAAGGCUAAAACUCAAAUGAAUUGACGGGG